UUGCAUGAUGCUAACCCCGGGCUUGUCGGACGGAUCUCGGUCCUCUGUGAUGAAGGAAAGCCCCAAUGCUGUGCUAGAUCCAAAACCGCCGUUCAGUGUUGCAGGCCGCGACACUACGCGUGAAUGAGCAGCUUGUGUCAGAGUAACGGAUACAUUC
rnacentral:snoRNA from 1 species